rnacentral:lncRNA from 1 species
UCAGACUGAAGGUGGUAUUUCUGGAAACUCCCUGCGGGGUUGGCAGAAUGCUUCUUCAGGCCGGAGUCCUGUGUGACUAUUGAAUAAAGCCGGUUACUUCUCUGUGGAGUUGGCGUUCUGAGGGAUUUAAGAAGACAUGAUUUCCACCCCACUUCCACAGCACGUCUAAAGUUUUGUCUUCUUUCUGGGUCCUUAUCUUAUGCCACAAUGCAGCAAGCUCUGGAACAAGCUUUGGAUCGUGCAGAGUAUAUCGUCGAAAGCGCUCAGCAGAGGCCUCCGAAAAGGAAAUGCCUGUCUAGUGGAAGAAAGUCUAUAUUUCAAAAACUUUAUGACUUAUAUGUUGAAGAAUGUGAAAAAGAGCCCGAGGUUAAGCAGAAAUUAAGAAGAAAUGUGAACUUGUUAGAGAAGCUUGUUAUGCAAGAGACAUUGUCAUGUUUAGUGGUCAAUCUUUACCCAGGAAAUGAAGGGUAUUCCCUGAUGCUGAGGGGAAAAAACGGAUCAGGUUAAUAUUUUUCACUGUGGAUGUGUGAUAGCAGAAAUCCGUGACUACAGGCAGUCCAGUAAUAUGAAGUCUCCUGGUUACCAAAGUAGGCAUAUUCUCUUACGCCCAACAAUGCAGACUUUAGUCUGUGAUGUCCAUUCUAUAACAAGUGACAACCAUAAAUGGACCCAG